ACUUUAACUAGACAAAUCAAAUAAUCAUAAAAUAUUAAAAAUAAGCCUAAAAGAUGUAUCAAUUCAAAAUAUACAAUACUAAACAAAUAAGAUCUAUAUGAAUUCAGCCUUUUCAAAAUUUAUUUUUAAAUUUAUUUUUUAUUUAUAAAUCAAUUUUUUUCAAAUAUUCAGUUCAUCUCGACAAUCAUGAAACUAAUCAAAGUACCAAUGCAUAACUUUCACUGACAAGAUAUCGAUAUAUCAGUGCAUAACCCCCAUAAAUAGGAUAUCAACGUACAAGCAUAUAAUCCAUACUAGUAGGGUAUUGAUAUACUAGCACAUAACUUUCAUUAACAGGAUAUCGAUAUGUUAGAUGUAUGCCCCAAAAAUCAAUCUUGACUGACACAUAUCUUAUUCUAGAAUAUAUUUUGUACUUGUUGGAUAGUUUUUAUUGUCAAUCAUGUUGUAUAUGUUCAUGAUUUAUCCUAAAAAUUAAUAAAGAUAAUUUUAUGUAUUCUCA
rnacentral:lncRNA from 1 species